AUGUGCAUCGCACCGUCCUUCGUCCGUCCUUCCUAAUUAAAAUGUCAAAUUUAAAUGUAAAUCAAUAAAUUAUCAAAGAAACGUAUCUACAAGAGGGACGUAUAUUGCUCGGUCCUUCAUAACACGUGGCCGCGUGUGAGAGGUUUGGGUAGGGUGAAGGAAAAAAAAUCGAAGUAUCGAGAUCAUUUGUUUUCUCUCCGACUCUCUCUCUUUACGCAGCUUCCUUCAAUCAUCACCAUUUCCGUCGUGCUUCUCUCUCUCGUUCGUCUGCGAAGAAGAAGAAUCUGACUCUGAGUUGUUGUAAGGACAUGAAUCUCGCGGUGGCUAGUUUUAGUGGCAAUUUGGGCGUCUUGUCGCAAUGCAGCUCAUGUUGUAGUCGUCUUAAGUUUCAGCCUUUUGUAGGAGCUACUUCGAGUCUCAAUUUCGGGCAAACAGGAACAUCUCGAAAGAAGAAGGAUCUGAAGCUUGAAAGAGUUUUCAGAAAGAGAGAGACUUCAGCUGAUGAUCCU